rnacentral:lncRNA from 1 species
CUUCUGUACAGAUAAUUCUAGGAACUCUCACAGAGCCUCAAUGACUUUCACAGAUGAUGAAGAAUCUCCGCUAUAGCCCAGAGAUUCAGACCUACUUGUUGCUGGCUGAAGAGCCCCCUCCUACAAGAAAUCAGUUUCUGAUGAAACCUGUCAUGUGCAUUUAAGGAAGCACUCAGGCCCAAACCAACUUCACUUUACAGCUCCUGCAGGACC